rnacentral:tRNA from 1 species
GCGGUCGUGGCCGAGUGGUUAAGGCGUCUGACUUGAAAUCAGAUUCCCGCUGGGAGCGUAGGUUCGAGUCCUGCCGACCGCG